AUUGAACGCUGGCGGCAUGCCUAACACAUGCAAGUCGAGCGAGCGGCGGACGGGUGAGGAAUGUAUGGGGACUGCCCGUUAGAGGGGGAUCACUACUGGAAACGGUAGCUAAUACCGCAUACUAUCGGAUAACCCAUAUGGGAUUAGCUAGUGGGUGAGGUAAUGGCUCACCUAGGCGACGAGCCCUAGCUGGUCUGAGAGGAUGAUCAGCCAAACUGGGACUGAGACACGGCCCAGACUCCUACGGAGGCAGCAGUGGGGAAUAUUGGACAAUGGGCGAAAGCCUGAUGGAGCCAUGCCGCGUGAAUGAAGAAGGCUCUAGGGUUGUAAAGUACUGUUAGUCGGGAGGCGUUACCGACAGAAGAAGCACCGGCUAACUCCGUGCCAGCAGCCGCGGUAAUUC
rnacentral:rRNA from 1 species